GACAGAGGGUGCAAACGUUGCUCGGAAUUACUGGGCGUAAAGCGCGUGUAGGUGGAUUGGUGUGUCAGAUGUGAAAGCCCUGGGCUCAACCCAGGAACUGCACCUGAAACUACCAGUCUUGAGUGGUGGAGAGGGAAGUGGAAUUCCUAGUGUAGAGGUGAAAUGCGUAGAUAUCGGGAGGAACACCUGUGGCGAAAGCGGCUCACUGGACCAUAACUGACGCUGAUGCACGAAAGCUGGGGGAGCAAACAGG
rnacentral:rRNA from 1 species